rnacentral:lncRNA from 1 species
CCAGAAAACCCCCGACACAAAUGGAGAGCCGGGAAGAGAUCCGAAUGGAAGCACCAAAUAAACACCAAAAGCAAACAAAAAGAAAACUACACCAAAUAAAAGGAAAACAGAACAAAACACCACUGAAACCAACACCAGGCAGGUCAGGAAAGGAGGGCAAAGAAACACUGCGAAAGCUGGCCAGAAGGGGAGGAGGCAGGGAACCCCCACCCAACCCCCCACGCGAGCCAAGGCACACCACUCCCAGAACACCCUACCGAUGCCAGCACAGGAACCAUAAGAGUAAGACAUUGUUGUCGAUAGCGGAUUAUGGAAAAUAGAGGAACACCAAAAUUCCACUAUGUGAAAUAGGGGAUAGUGUUGCUGGAAAAUAGUGAAAGUCGCAUAGGGUUGAAAUAAGUCAAUUUUUUAUGAAAAAGGGCAAGCUGCAUACAGAUAAGAAAAAGAAUGGAGGCAAAGCAUAUCUUCUACACUGGAAGGUUUAAUUAUUACUGUUAAUAUAAGAGUAAUGCUCACCUAAUCUUCGGUUUUCUAUAGUAAAAGUAGGCCAUGUUUGGCCCAUAUGCAGAUUCUUCGGUUUUGUUUCUAAAAAAGACCCUAAAAUUCUCUUUUUCCAUUAUUACUGCUACAUCAGCUAGCAAAAACUGGAAUAGCGGGGCGGCUAUUGCGCUAAUAGUGUUGUGGUUUCCAUAGAGGAAUCACCAAAAUCCACUAUGUUACAGAGCUGCUAUUGCGGCGGCUAUUUGAUGACGCUGGAGCAGAAUAUGUUUAGUUUAGAAUUUGGUACCUGGAUCCAAGAUAAGCACAUAUUUCUGACCAUUUUUGUGAAGAGUAUCAACAAAAUUUCUCAUCUUAUCUUUCGGAAAAUUAACAGGAUCUAGAGUGAAAUCUUUAUAUGCAUCCAUGUAAUCAAUAUCUGUCCACAUAACUUCGAGGGGUAUACCAGCUUUUGCAUAGUUGGUUACUACACCCUGAACAUCAUUUACAUUCUUGUAUCCCCAUCGACAUUGAUGAAAACCUUCACAAAGAGUUAACAAUGAUGUGGAUUAGCAUAGCAAAUUGAUAUAAUUAAUCACCGUGAAUAUAAUACAAUAGAAAGACAAUUGCAAUAAACUGGUGUUAGAUUUUAAUGCCUGGAGCCCUGAACUAAUGCAUAGAAAUUUCAUAAAGUACAAUUCAAUGACUAUAGACCUUUAUAUGGUUUAAUUUUUUAUCAUCUAUGUCUAGGCCAUUCCUAACUUAAUAGGGGCUUGUCCUCCACACUUUAGUUUUCAACACCUAUAAACACAUUCUUUCAAGUUUCAUAGCAUUGGCUUUAUAUUUUGUAACUGUGGUUUGCAACAACGGUUACGGCCACAACGUAAGGGAUUCUAAAACUUCUACAACUGCAAUUCAAAAUACUAGAAGAAAAAAAAUUCAGUAGAACACCUUGAUAGAAGGUCGACUCUAGACCAGAACCUGAAAAUUUAUUCAAAACACCAAUGACAUUUGACAGGACUCAUCAUCCCCACGACUGAGUGGUUGACCUUAUCGGUGUUAGUUAGACAGAAAUACGAGUUGAGUUUUGAGCCACACAUAUCAAUUAUAUCUUGUUUGUUCCAAAUUGUAACCAAUCAGGUCACUAUCUCAGACGUUACAACAAGGAGGAAUAUGAAAUUCUACUCCCGAAAACCAAUAUCAGUCAUUGCUGAAGUUUCAAACGAUUUUUGAGUACUGAUCCACGAGUCGUGGAUCAGUACUUGAAAUUGUACACGACUGACCACGACUGGCCGCCUAUUAAAAUUGUACACCUUAUAACUUGCUAUAAACACUUGAGUAGUUGAGUUUCAACAAGUAAAACAACUAGAACUACAAGGACAAAAAGGAUUGAAAAAUUCAACAAUCCAUGCUGGACUUACCAAAAGACCAAUAAGGCAUAGGAGCAGGCCUACCAAUGAACUGAGUAUACUGAUCCAAAACCAAUUCAGGAGAUGAACCAGCAAAAAAAUACAAAUCAAAAACACCACCAAUCACCUUAUAAGUAAGACGAUCACCGCUAUAAACAACAUCCAUUCCAUUACUAUUAAGAAGUAAAACNUGUGGGAGACAAUUGAAAAUAAUCAUCAAUUUAUGUUUUGUAUACAAGAUUGGUUGAUCUAGGAGAAAACAAUGAAUGAUGGAGACAAGCCAUGUUGACUUAAAAGAUAAGAUGACAUUGUUACUAACAUUUUCCACUAAGAAGUAACAAUAGUUUUUUUUUUCUUCUUUUUUUAUUGCAAAUGUUACUAAAUUCUCCUUUGUGAGAAGAUUUUUAACUGUAGUAUUUUAACCCUACUUGAAAGGAGGUGACCUUAACUCUUUGUACUAACAAUUUUUUUGAGAGGACCACCACUUGAAAGGAUAUGAUCCAUCUUUAAACUAACCCUACUUGAAAGGAGGUGACCUUAACUCUUUCUACUAACAAUAGUUAAUAUGAUGGCGACUAUGUAAAUUGACUACUAGACAAAGAUGGGCAAUCACCAUUUUUCUUGUUCUUUUUGUUAUUAAAAAACAUAAUUAAUGAUAGCAGAUUUUUAUAUUAUAAAUUUCUAUUAAUAUGAUCGCAAAGGUUGAUCGAACUGAAAAAACCACUAGUCCAGCUCAAUGAUGGAGAGUGUUACCUGCAAACACUUGGCGCUCACAUCGCCAAGAGAAACCAUUGAGUAGUGUGUGUGUGUGUUCUCCUCGUGUGUCCCUCUCAUGUCAACGUGGCUCAUUCUUUGUUUCCUCCUACAUGAACUAACCUCUAUAAAUUUGUAGUUAUAGUCAUAGUUUUAAGAACCGGCCGGUUCAACCGUGAACCAUACCCAUUACCGGUUUGAGCCAGCUAUUGGAUCGGCCAUGUUAUUGACUCGGCUGCCACGUCAUAAACAAAGCUUAUAGCAUAAAAAAUUACAUACAAUACAAGUGUUUAUAUGUAAGCUAUUUCUAUAGGUUUAUGAGGCGUUAGCUCGAUGAUAAUAAUCUGACCUGCAAUUGCAAGAGACGGAGUUCAAAUUCAUGAGACAAUUGUAAAAUGGACAUUAACGCCACCAUAAUUUUAAUAAUAUUUCUCCUUCCCCAUUUUUUUUUAAAAUUGUUCCUUUUAAUAAACAACUAUUUCGAUAGCGAAAUAUAAAAUGAGGUCUGACUGUUUUCACAAGAUUAGCAUAGAGAGCUUGUGCAAAUAAUCCAAAAACAAUUUAUGAAUAUGUCAUAAACUGUUUUCAUAAGCUCUCGUAAACAAUCUCAAAUGUUUGUCGCGCAAUAAGCUCAAAUGGGACAAUUCAACCAGAUGUUGAUGAAUGUAUGGAAAAGGAAAGAAACACUUGAGAUAAUAUAAAUCAACUAAAUCUUGAGAUAAUAUAUAGAUUUGAUAGACAAAUAUAACUAUACUAGAUGAUACUUAUUUCUGAUCCCUUGUAGCAACCUUAACUAAGGUAAAACAAGGGACUCUUCAAAGAAGUAAAACUACUAAGAAAACACAUAUUAUUUUUGGAAAUUGCAUUCUCAAAUUUCCUUCUACCUUAUUUUAGUCUUCAGUUCAAACUGCUCUCCAAUAAGCUGUUUCAAAUUUGAAACUUCCACAGUAACAAACUUAGAAGACCUAUCAAAUUUUGUGAUCAAAACUCUUUUCCUCGUUGAAUUCAUUCCACUCACAACAUUUAACUCACUCUCAGCCAAAUCAUUUCCAUUUAACCUACCAUAAUUAGGUAUCCCCAAGAAUGUAACCUUUUCUAUGGUCCAUUUUUGGUCCAAAGCAAAUUUUCCAUUAGUAACAUUAGAAGUAACAGAAACACUGUCAUUAUUAUACAGUGCACCAUAAAAUCUCACAAGUGUCCAUUGAUCUUUCUCUCCUUCUAGAUCAAGAGCCUCACCAUCAUCCAAAUAAACUUGUCCAUAACUAUUUCCAUUUCCACUAAAAACAACCAAUAGUUCGAAUGCGGUGUUUCGAGCUGCUUUCGUUGUCAUUGCUUCACCUUGUAAGGCCAAAAUGUUACCUUCACCAACAUGCACAUUUAUGUGAUCAGAUGGUGCAUCAAGUGUGACAUAUUUGCCUGAUUCUGCACUCACUGAAUUUGAAGGAUUAAAGAGAUCAAACCAAUUUCCUUUAGGAAAGUAUGCAUCAACAGUAACUGCACCAGAUUGUAGCACAGGUGAGACUAGAACACCAUUGCCUAAUAGAAACUGCGAGUUUAUUUCGUAUGUUGUGAUAUCCUCGGGGAAUGAAAAGAAAAGUGGCCGCGCAAUUGGUGUCCCUUUUGUGUUUGAUUCGUACAUUAGUGUGUAGAAAUAUGGAAGAAGGCGGUAACGAAGGGCGAGCACUUUUCGAGCUGAUGCUGCAACUGAAUCCCAAAGGUAAAGCUCUUGCCUGAUGGAACUUUUAUCUGAAUGAUCUCUUGCAAAGGGGUAGAAGGCCCCUAACUACAUUCAAGAAAAUAAAAAAGUAUUAGAUAUGCAUGCAAUGAUGGAAAUAUUUUCCAUCAGGGUUUUAAAAACUUAGGUACUGUUCUAUAGAAACUGUUCCUACUGUUCUCAACUUACAGAUAGUGUAACUGUCACCAACAAUUUUGAAUGGAUGUGAAAAACUGUCCUUUUUGUUAGAAAAAGUAAGAGUACAGCACACAUUGAAUCUAAGUUUAGUCCUUUAAAGAAAGGCCUACCGCGCGAUGUGGAAAGUGACAUUAAGAUUUUUUAUGUUUAUACGACUGCAAUUGCGGCUUUAUCACCACGAUUCUCUGAAAUAUAAGAAUCGCAGCGUGUCUGCAAUUUAAAACCUUUCUUUACCUGUAGCCAAAAAUCACAGCUCUAUCCAUGUGUAACUUUUAUAAAUUUAGUCUAGUGAAAAAGUUGUGGAUGCUAUCCGAUUUUGAGGAUCAAUGUUUGUUACCUGAAUCCAGCGCCGACAAAGUUCUUCAGUAGUGUCUGCUGAGAAGCCGCAUAUAUCCGCUCCAACCAUAGGAACUCCAAAGAUUCCAAAGUUUAAUAUUGAUGGGAUUGAGUAUGCUAAAUCAUUCCAUGUAGCAGCAUUAUCUCCUGUCCAAUGAGCUGUAUACUUGCCAGAGCUAACAAAAGUUGAUCUACUCAAAAUGAAUGGUCUUUUACUAGUUAUUUCCACUAAGGCCCUGUUGGUUGUUUUGGAUUCUAAGAGACCAUACAAAUUGUGAGAAUCAUACUCAGUGAUAUUACCAUAAUGUAAAGAAGUUGCUGGCACCGUUUUAUUGUUGAUUGGUCGUUGAACGCCAGUACUGUUAAUUUUGUAAGGAGGGCUGUCAAGAUUAGAAUGAGGAGUGUCAUUCGAAGUUAUGAAAUUUGAUAACUCAUUCAUGUCAAGCCAAAUACCAUCAAAAGGGAGAAGUUCCCUAAAUAAUUUGAUUUCUUCACCCCAAAAUUCUUGGCUAUGAGGGUUAAGAAAAUCAGGAUAGUAAACUGGUCCUGGCCAAACUUCACCUAGAUAAUUGACUCCAUUUCUCUUUAGAUAGACAUCAGCUUGUAAGCCUCUAACAUAGGUUGCAUAUGUGUUAUUUACACUGAUACCUGUGUACAAAAAAGCAAUGACAUGUGCAUAUAUAUAUAUAUUUUUUUGAAUGGCAAAUAUAUAAUAUAGAAAAAGAACACACUGUACAAGAUACACCAACAGGACCAUCAAAAGAUGGUCCAAAGAGACCCCAGAAAACCCCCGACACAAAUGGAGAGCCGGGAAGAGAUCCGAAUGGAAGCACCAAAUAAACACCAAAAGCAAACAAAAAGAAAACUACACCAAAUAAAAGGAAAACAGAACAAAACACCACUGAAACCAACACCAGGCAGGUCAGGAAAGGAGGGCAAAGAAACACUGCGAAAGCUGGCCAGAAGGGGAGGAGGCAGGGAACCCCCACCCAACCCCCCACGCGAGCCAAGGCACACCACUCCCAGAACACCCUACCGAUGCCAGCACAGGAACCAUAAGAGUAAGACAUUGUUGUCGAUAGCGGAUUAUGGAAAAUAGAGGAACACCAAAAUUCCACUAUGUGAAAUAGGGGAUAGUGUUGCUGGAAAAUAGUGAAAGUCGCAUAGGGUUGAAAUAAGUCAAUUUUUUAUGAAAAAGGGCAAGCUGCAUACAGAUAAGAAAAAGAAUGGAGGCAAAGCAUAUCUUCUACACUGGAAGGUUUAAUUAUUACUGUUAAUAUAAGAGUAAUGCUCACCUAAUCUUCGGUUUUCUAUAGUAAAAGUAGGCCAUGUUUGGCCCAUAUGCAGAUUCUUCGGUUUUGUUUCUAAAAAAGACCCUAAAAUUCUCUUUUUCCAUUAUUACUGCUACAUCAGCUAGCAAAAACUGGAAUAGCGGGGCGGCUAUUGCGCUAAUAGUGUUGUGGUUUCCAUAGAGGAAUCACCAAAAUCCACUAUGUUACAGAGCUGCUAUUGCGGCGGCUAUUUGAUGACGCUGGAGCAGAAUAUGUUUAGUUUAGAAUUUGGUACCUGG